rnacentral:rRNA from 1 species
ACGGGAGGCAGCAGUGGGGAAUAUUGCACAAUGGGGGAAACCCUGAUGCAGCGACGCCGCGUGAGUGAAGAAGUAUUUCGGUAUGUAAAGCUCUAUCAGCAGGAAAGAAAAUGACGGUACCUGACUAAGAAGCCCCGGCUAACUACGUGCCAGCAGCCGCGGUAAUACGUAGGGGGCAAGCGUUAUCCGGAUUUACUGGGUGUAAAGGGAGCGUAGACGGUAAGGCAAGUCUGAAGUGAAAUGCCAGGGCUCAACCCUGGAACUGCUUUGGAGACUGUCCUACUAGAGUGCAGGAGAGGUAAGUGGAAUUCCUAGUGUAGCGGUGAAAUGCGUAGAUAUUAGGAGGAACACCAGUGGCGAAGGCGGCUUACUGGACUGUAACUGACGUUGAGGCUCGAAAGCGUGGGGAGCAAACAGGAUUAGAUACCCUGGUA